rnacentral:misc_RNA from 1 species
CUUCAGGGACAUACUGGCAAGGUGAAUCAUAAACGUUUGCUAUAUACUAUUUGAAUUUGUUCAUAUAAAUAUUUGCAUACUUGUGUGUGUUUGUUUUCCUUUUUGAUUUACUUGUUUUGGUUAGUGUCAUUUUUUCUGUAAAGGAAAUCACUAAAAUUCAUUACGACAAAUCAGUACACAAAGCGUACAAAAUGGAUUGAGGAGGGGCAGCACCCCACUUCUUAAAGACCAGACUCAGAACUGGCUGUUGUUGACAACAAAUGAGCAGCAUGGUUCGCUGAUCUCUUAACACAAAUACCACAGAGCUUUGGUUUAUUAAGACCUUUACAAUGAUGAACAAUUGCCCCAAAAUAGGAAGCAUCUACCUGAUCACCCAUCACUGCCUGAACUAGCAGUAAUAAUCAGUCUCAAAUAUAACUCGUUGAUAAGAAUGGGCGUUAACCCAGCUAAGAGCUUCUCUGAAACACAUAGCCUCGGCAAUCUUUGGAUCCAGGCGGCCCUAUUUCCUCUCAAAAUAUCCUCAUUCAUUCUACUUUUCCAACUUCAUUGUCUAAACUAAGAAGAUAUUCUGCUUAUUUUCUCCUAAAAACUACUCAGUCAAUAAUUUCUCCAUUUUCCCCCUCAGCUCCCACUUGAAUUUAGCCACAAAUCCUCCGCUCAUUCUUGAAACAACUACCAUGUCAAAAGGAACAGAGAAAAUAACAAUAGCAAUCUUUACGGCAACACACAUAAGCUAACUAACUCUAUUAUUGUGGUGGAAUAUUGUCUGUUAGUUAUCAUAUUAAUAUCUUUCCAACUUUCUUGCUUAUUUGUUUUUGUAUUUAACCCUCUCCAUACUCUCUCUCUCUCUCUCU